AUGCACGCUUGCGGCGUGCCUAAUACAUGCCAGUCGAGCGAACAGACGAGGAGCUUGCUCCUCUGACGUUAGCGGCGGACGGGUGAGUAACACGUGGAUAACCUACCUAUAAGACUGGGAUAACUUCGGGAAACCGGAGCUAAUACCGGAUAAUAUAUUGAACCGCAUGGUUCAAUAGUGAAAGACGGUUUUGCUGUCACUUAUAGAUGGAUCCGCGCCGCAUUAGCUAGUUGGUAAGGUAACGGCUUACCAAGGCAACGAUGCGUAGCCGACCUGAGAGGGUGAUCGGCCACACUGGAACUGAGACACGGUCCAGACUCCUACGGGAGGCAGCAGUAGGGAAUCUUCCGCAAUGGGCGAAAGCCUGACGGAGCAACGCCGCGUGAGUGAUGAAGGUCUUCGGAUCGUAAAACUCUGUUAUUAGGGAAGAACAAAUGUGUAAGUAACUAUGCACGUCUUGACGGUACCUAAUCAGAAAGCCACGGCUAACUACGUG
rnacentral:rRNA from 1 species